UGAUUUCGUGUGUAACUUGUCGGUGAUCUGUUCUCUUCCGUGUAUAUGUUGGAUAACCUUAAUGUUUCUCAUCAAUUUACAGUAUGAAACGUGUUAGAGUAGUGCAGCAUACUGUCUACUAUUUUGUUCAACAUUAUUGUUAAUCAUCUACUGAAUCAUUUCAUUUACUGAAAUCAUUUACUGAAUGUGCCAUUGAAAUGUUACAGGAUUCAUCAUAAUUGUCCGCUGUUUGUAUUUGACUUGCUAGAUCACCAACCCCAGCAUGAACCAAUCUCUCAUUCCAUUUUCUAGUGAACCUUGGAUUUGGUUUGAUGGUUGAUUUGGAUCAAUGGUUUCAUGUGUUUCUAAAUUGGCAUUUGACAGACUUAUUGAGAAGUCAUGUCCUUUCAAGAAAAAGGACAAGGACUAUACAGUCAACAAGAUUCCUUGUUUGCUAACCCGUUGGCUGCUACUCUUGAAUCUCCCUCUUAACUUCCUACACAGGCCCUCUUGAUUUGAGGGUAAUUCCAUCUAGGACUUCAUCUAUUGGUGAAAACCGACAAGAUAUGGAGAGAAUGCUGGCGUAAUUCAAGACCGUUAAAUUGUGUAGUCAGCUAAAUAACAAGUGCAUAUCUGGGCUCCCUUCUUUUCUGUGGCCCCGUUUCCCUAACUAACCACUAACCAACGCCCGCCGGUGGUCACUCACCCGCUGUGAAACCAGGAGGAGG